GGGAUUCCUUAGUAAUUGCGAAUGAACAAGGAACUGCUCAGCUUGAAAAUUGGGGCCUUCGGCCUUGAAUUGUAAUUUUGAAAUGUAUUGCCAAUGGAGGCGCAGGUGCAAGCCUAUUGAAAGAAAGCGUCAAUGAGGGUGAGAUUCCUUUUUGUCAUUUGCAGUCCUCCGUGCACGGUAUAUAUUUGACGAGUCACACUCCUCGGCAUUGGAAUGCAAAGUGGGUGGUAAAUUCCAUGUAAAGGAAAAUAUAUUAUUGAGACUGAUAGCAAACAAGUACCAUGAGGGAAAUAUGAAAAGGACUUUGAAAAGAGAAUUAAAAGAGUCUGCAUUUGCUGAACAGAAAGCAAACAGAAUUGAUCUACUUGGUGAGAUUGUUGCGUCCACUUGUGGGCGCAAUGGUUCUUACCUUGAAUGUCAGCGUCUAUUUCUGCAAAUCAUUACCCUUGCACAUGAAUGGUAAUUUGCCUGUGGGUAUUGGAAUGCAUGUGUUUGCAAUGAUUUGUGAUUUGAUACGUGUGUCUGGUGUUCUUGUGUGUGCCUUCUUGCCAAAAGGGGAGGGCUCUCCUCCCUGGGCACUGCAAGCCCUUGCACAUUGUUGCUGGCAAAAUGUUUCUGCUUGACCCGUCUUGAA
rnacentral:rRNA from 1 species